rnacentral:rRNA from 1 species
GACGGAGGGUGCUAGCGUUGUUCGGAAUCACUGGGCGUAAAGGGCGCGUAGGCGGCCUUGCAAGUCGGUUGGUGAAAGCCCGGGGCUCAACCCCGGAGGUGCGGCCGAGACUGCAGGGCUGGAGGCCGGAAGAGGAGGGUGGAAUACCCAGUGUAGAGGUGAAAUUCGUAGAUAUUGGGUGGAACACCGGUGGCGAAAGCGGCUCUCUGGUCCGGACCUGACGCUGAGGCGCGAAGGCGUGGGGAGCGAACGGG